GUAAACAGACGAAAUAUUACUCAAAACAUGAAUGUAACAAUGAUUUUUAGUCUUUCAAUUAUUAAGAUUUAUAGUCUGCAACACAUCGAUUCAAAUUCUGUGACAUCCCGUCCUUUUCAAAGGAAAUAUUGAAGACCUUUAAAAUUAGAAUACUAUUGAUACAUGCCCGAUAUUUAAUAAAUUAUAUUAUUUUAAAGAGAUUUUAUAAAUUGAAGUUCGUUACUAUUAUUUUAUUGAUCAAAUGCCUUAAGCCCGUUAUUAAGGUAUAUGAAAAAUAUUUUCACCAGUAUUAAUUUAUUUAUUUUUUCCAUUCUAUUUAGUUAUUUAUCUAUUUAUUUUUAUUGGGCCUCAAGCCUAGCAAUAAUUAUUUGUGAGUUAUUAAAAUUUUCUUGGGCCUCCAGCCCAAAAUUUGUGAGAUCAAUACUGGCCCAAAAUUUGGAGAUGAGUGGGAGAAAUUGAAACAUGCGUGUGUGCGUGUGACGGUGUGAGUGUGAGAAACUGAAAUAUUUUCCUUCCUCUCCAAGUCUAACUGUGUUUGAUAUUUUCACAAAUUUGAUAUUCUAUUCCCAAAAGCAAAAGCUUUGGCUUUGUUACAACCACAUCAAUGGUUCCACCUUCAUAAAUUACCCCAACUUUUCUUACACUAUUCCACCGGCUGCAGUAGGAAGCAAUCAACAUAGUAACUCUUUCUAUUUCUCAGUCAAGUAUCAUUACGUUUCAUCAUGUUUAUUUCUUCACUUUCCGAAAAAUGGUGGACUGAAUCCAGCAAAAUUGCUCUCGGUUCGAUUCCUUUCACACAAAACUCAACAUGCUCUUUUCAUAGCAGAACUCCAGCUGGUAACCCCAAUUAUCUCUGUAAUCUAUGCAUUUUCAUUUUAAUACAGCAACUAUUUCCUUCUAUUUGUUCCUUAUUACGGAAACAUAACAAACAUCACAACAAAAGAAUAACAAACACAAAAUCCAAAUACCCAACUGUUUCUAUUAAAGAAAUACCUUGACCAAUGCUAUGCACCAAAAAUCAAAUCUUUACAUCUGAAUUCCUUUCCUUUUGUUCCUCCGGUGAGUGAGAGUCGAGGAUUCGAUGAGAGGGAGGAGUGGGACUGUCCGAGCUCGACGCCGGGCUGUCAAGGCCACGGCUGCCGGCGCUGCAUGCGUGGCAGCAGCCCGCCGGCCGCUCGCGGCCAAGGCAGACGGAGUCGGGGCACGGCAGUGAGGCUGGUGGCUGGCAAGAGGGAGGUGGUGAGCAGAGGGUAAGGUGAGAAAGAGGAGGCGAUGAGUGAGGGACCGAGGUUAGAGCAGGCGGCGGCGGAAGAUCUUGGAGGGAGAAGAGGCGGUGGUUCUGGGAGAGAGAAAAAGCGAAUUAUAGAGACAGAUGGGAGGAGGAGAGAGAGGUGGUUCCCGGCGACGAAUCGCCGCGAAGAGGGGCGGCGGCGUGGCUUCAUGUGGGAGAGAGAGAGGGCGGCGGAUAGAGAGGGGAAGAUGGGUGUGAGGAUAGAGAGAGAAAGAGAACCGAUAGUGAGGAGAGAGAGAGUGAAUAUUUGGCUUUUCAUUUCAGAUUUUUAGGUGUUCAAAAGCUGAUGGAUUUUCUUUAAUGGGCCGAUUUCUAUUAUCAGUUGGGCCGUUUCUUUUCUUUUAUUUGAUGGUAUGUGUUUUCAUUACUUGGGCCCUUUCAAUUUGAGCAAGCCUCUUAUAUUUUCUUUGGGCUCUAUUUAUUUAUUUAAUUGGGCCUGUAAGUGUUUUCACUAAUUUUAUCAAUUUUCUAUAAGAUUUAGUUUUUAUAUAUUUAAGUAUAUUAUUAAUUAUUGAUUACUUUUACUAAGCUAUCAUUUAUUUUGAAACUAGUAUCCUCAAUAAAUUACCAAUGUUUAUUCCUAUAAUCUGGGCUGAGUGUAUCAAUAGUUAGCAAUUCUCCUUUAUAUUUACAAGUUAGAAUAGCACCUCGAGACCUAUUAAAGAAUAGAUUUCUUGUAGGUUCGAAUAAUCAAGGGCAGUAGAGAAGAGCAAGCAAGCACUGAAUCUCCACUAUUGAGGUGGGCUAUAUUUUGGUAAAAUGUAUCUUGAGUUAUAUAAGCUCUGAUAUUUCAUGAAAGUUAAUUGUUUAUCCAAUAUAAAUGUUUUUAUGUGCGUUCUGUAAUUGUUUAAUGCUCGCAUAAGCAUCGAUCGAGAUUCUCAUUUGACCUAACACGUUAGAUGAGGAUUGUGUACACAAGGUUAGUGGCUCAAUGGGUUGAUCGCCAUUGGGAACUAACAAAGCUAAGCAGGCGUUAUAAGGGUGCUCCUGGACACGUUCCAAAGCACAAAUGAUGAUGUGUUCCGUNNNNNNNNNNNNNNNNNNNNNNNNNNNNNNNNNNNNNNNNNNNNNNNNNNNNNNNNNNNNNNNNNNNNNNNNNNNNNNNNNNNNNNNNNNNNNNNNNNNNNNNNNNNNNNNNNNNNNNNNNNAAAAGCGAAUUAUAGAGACAGAUGGGAGGAGGAGAGAGAGGUGGUUCCCGGCGACGAAUCGCCGCGAAGAGGGGCGGCGGCGUGGCUUCAUGUGGGAGAGAGAGAGGGCGGCGGAUAGAUGGGUGUGAGGAUAGAGAGAGAAAGAGAACCGAUAGUGAGGAGAGAGAGAGUGAAUAUUUGGCUUUUCAUUUCAGUAUUUUUAGGUGUUCAAAAGCUGAUGGAUUUUCUUUAAUGGGCCGAUUUCUAUUAUCAGUUGGGCCGUUUCUUUUCUUUUAUUUGAUGGUCUGUGUUUUCAUUACUUGGGCCCUUUCAAUUUGAGCAAGCCUCUUAUAUUAUAUUUCUUUGGGCUCUAUUUAUUUAUUUAAUUGGGCCUGCAAGUGUUUUCACUAAUUUUAUCAAUUUUCUAUAAGAUUUAGUUUUUAUAUAUUUAAGUAUAUUAUUAAUUAUUGAUUACUUUUACUAAGCUAUCAUUUAUUUUUGAAACUAGUAUCCUCAAUAAAUUACCAAUGUUUAUUCCUAUAAUCUGGGCUAAGUGUAUCAAUAGUUAGCAAUUCUCCUUUAUAUUUAGAAGUUAGAACAGCACCUCGAGACCUAUUAAAGAAUAGAUUUCUUGUAGGUUCGAAUAAUCAAGGGCAGUAGAGAAGUUCAAGCAAGCACUGAAUCUCCACUAUUGAAGUGGGCUAUAUUUUGGUAAAAUGUAUCUUGAGUUAUAUAAACUCUGAUAUUUCAUGAAAGUUAAUUGUUUAUCCAAUAUAAAUGUUUUUAUGUGCGUUCUGUAAUUGUUUAAUGCUCGCAUAAGCAUCGAUCGAGAUUCUCAUUUGACCUAACACAUUAGAUGAGGAUUGUGUACACAAGGUUAGUGGCUCAAUGGGUUGAUCGCCAUUGGGAACUAACAAAGCUAAGCAGGCGUUAUAAGGGUGCUCCUGGACACGUUCCAAAGCACAAAUGAUGAUGUGUUCCGUCUGGGUAGCGUCCCAGGUUCACUUAAGCGGCAGUAAGUGAUCCGACGGUGGUUAAAGGCCCGGGAUCAUAAGCAGCGAGUAACAAUCGAACGUUACAUGGGGCCCUCAACGUGAAAAAUGUUUUGUCAUGCUUAGAAGUGGAUUUCUAUUUUCAAAACCUUCUGAGUUAUGAUUAUGAUAUUGGAUAAACUGCUCUAUUUAAUUAUUUCAUAAAAUAUCUUGUAAACUCUUGUUCACUGAGUACAUUAGUACUCAGUCCAAAUUAUUUUCAAAUAUUUUCAGGUUGAUCGGUUGAUGCAGACGGGGCUGAGCUGAGGCUAGAUACCACGAUGUCUUUUGCUUCCGCUAAUGACUAGCUUGUCAUCUCAUCUUUUAAAUUUCCUAAAUUGAGAAUUUCCAUUAUGUAGUACUAUAUUAUCUCGUUGGGCUUAGACUCUUAACCCAUAUUUCUAUUAAUGAAGCUAUCAUUGAUUAUGAUCAAAGUCACGAAACUAAACUUAUGCGAUCCUGAGUGCGAUUAUUG
rnacentral:lncRNA from 1 species